AUGCGAGAUAAACAAGGUCAAUCGAACAAAGCUGAAAUCUAAUCAUUUCAUGGGGUCAAGAGCUUUUGUAGUUGCUCGUGCUGAAAUAGGUGUGAAUGAACAUGGAGGAGUAGAGCCAAAUAGGAUUGAGUUCUACAAAAGCACCCAUUACUCGAGUGAAAAAGGAUGGUCAUCUCCAGAGGCUCAGACUAACUACAACAAAAUGAGAGAUUUGAGAGCUCGGUCUGUUU